UACAGAGGUCUCAAGCGUUGUUCGGAUUCAUUGGGCGUAAAGGGUGCGUAGGUGGCGCUGUAAGUCGGGUGUGAAAUUUCGGAGCUUAACUCCGAAACUGCAUUCGAUACUGCGGUGCUUGAGGACUGGAGGGGAGACUGGAAUUCAUGGUGUAGCAGUGAAAUGCGUAGAGAUCAUGAGGAAGACCAGUGGCGAAGGCGGCUCACUGGCCCGGUACUGACGCUGAGGCACGAAAGCGUGGGGAGCAAACAGG
rnacentral:rRNA from 1 species